AACGCCGCGUGAAGGAUGAAAUCCCUCGGGAUGUAAACUUCGCAAGAAUGGGAAGAAUAAGUAGGGGACAAUACCCCCUAUGAUGACGGUACCAUUUGUAAGCUCCGGCUAACUCCGUGCCAGCAGCCGCGGUAAUACGGGGGGAGCAAGCGUUGUUCGGAUUUACUGGGCGUAAAGGGCGCGUAGGCGGCCAGCACAAGUCAGUUGUGAAAUCUCCGGGCUUAACCCGGAAAGGUCAACUGAUACUGUGCGGCUAGAGUGCGGAAGGGGCAACUGGAAUUCUCGGUGUAGCGGUGAAAUGCGUAGAUAUCGAGAGGAACACCUGCGGCGAAGGCGGGUUGCUGGGCCGACACUGACGCUGAGGCGCGAAAGCCAGGGGAGCGAACGGGAUUAGAUACCCCGGUAGUCCUGGCCUUAAACGAUGGAUGCUUGGUGUCUGGGGUUUUAUAGUCCCCGGGUGCCGUAGCUAACGCGUUAAGCAUCCCGCCUGGGGAGUACGGUCGCAAGACUGAAACUCAAAGGAAUUGACGGGGACCCGCACAAGCGGUGGAGCAUGUGGUUCAAUUCGACGC
rnacentral:rRNA from 1 species